rnacentral:rRNA from 1 species
GACGUAGGGCGCGAGCGUUGUCCGGAUUUAUUGGGCGUAAAGAGCUCGUAGGCGGCUUGUCGCGUCGACUGUGAAAACCCGCGGCUCAACUGCGGGCUGCAGUCGAUACGGGCAGGCUAGAGUUCGGUAGGGGAGACUGGAAUUCCUGGUGUAGCGGUGAAAUGCGCAGAUAUCAGGAGGAACACCGAUGGCGAAGGCAGGUCUCUGGGCCACUACUGACGCUGAGAAGCGAAAGCGUGGGGAGCGAACAGG